UACGUAGGGUGCAAGCGUUGUCCGGAAUUAUUGGGCGUAAAGAGCUCGUAGGCGGUUUGUCGCGUCGAAUGUGAAAACCCGGGGCUCAACUCCGGGCCUGCAUUCGAUACGGGCAGACUAGAGUUCGGUAGGGGAGUCUGGAAUUCCUGGUGUAGCGGUGAAAUGCGCAGAUAUCAGGAGGAACACCGGUGGCGAAGGCGGAUCUCUGGGCCUUACCUGACGCUCAGGUGCGAAAGCUAGGGGAGCGAACAGG
rnacentral:rRNA from 1 species